UACAUGUGGGGCAAGCGUUGUUCGGAAUUACUGGGCCUAAAGGGUGCGUAGGCGGCUUGUUAAGUCAGGGGUGAAAGUUUUCGGCCCAACCGGAGAAUUGCCUUUGAUACUGGCGAGCUCGAGUGCGUGAGGGGUAACCGGAACGAGCAGUGUAGCGGUGAAAUGCGUAGAUAUUGCUCGGAAGGCCAACGGCGAAGGCAGGUUACUGGUACGCAACUGACGCUGAGGCACGAAAGCGUGGGGAGCAAACAGG
rnacentral:rRNA from 1 species